AAAACCAAUUUGACACUGUCCAUUUACAAGCACACAAGACUGAUUAUUCUUAUAGAAAAGUUUUAUCCAGUCUUUGAAUGUAUCUCCAAAGUUAAAGAAAUCUAGAACAGAACUCAUUAGUUUCCAUGAUAAAAAGUCAAAGGCGAUUGACGAAAUCAAGUAACCAUACUAUGAUUUUUUUAUUUUUCUAACACUCUGUCCAAUAAAACGUCCAGACAUAAAAGCAGUUUGGUCUCCACUAAUAAGCUUAUUCAAGACUGUUUUUAAUCUGUUAGCUAUACUUGCUGUUGCUAUUUUAUACGAGAUAUUCAGUAAGGAAAUUAAUCUAAAGUAUUCCAAGUACAGUUUAUCCUUAUCAUCUUUUGGAAUACAUGUAUGAUACCUUAUUUUUGUGUAGCUGACAAUUCUCCUUUUUUAAAAUCAUAGUUUACUGACCUAAAUAAAACUGACCUAAUUCUGUCCAGAAAACCCUAAAAACAGCUGUAAAACCAGAACUCCCAGGUGAAAAUGUACUUGACAUUUCUUUCAGACUAUUUAACAUUUCUUUAUGUGUAAUUUUCCUUCUAAAGACAUGUAUUCUUCUAAUGUUAGCUUUUUCAAAUUAUUAUCAUUAAACAAAUUAUUUAAAUUAACAUCUUUUGUGGUUUCAAACGCCUCAAGCUGUUUUCAAAGUUUAUAUAUAAAGUUUCUUGUAAAAUUUGGUUUCAUGAGUUUAAGACAACACCUAAGGUGAAAUAUUGAAUGUAGCAUCGGAAUGGUCGAUGACGAGAGGUUUCUUUACCAGUAACCGUCCAUCCAUUCUUAGUACUACUUUCCUUUCUUUUAGUUUAUACAUAAUUUAUUUUAGGUCGAUUGUGAAGCAAUUCUACAACAUAUAUUAAUCACUCUCGACACCUCAUUCCUGAUGGAAUCCAUCGCCACGAGGGCAUGAUAGAAGAGAAGCCAGCUUCCAUUUUAAUGCUGAGCGUCAAGUAAGGGAGCUACUGGUAAUAUUACCCGUCUUUGGUAUGACUCGGCCGGGGAUCGAACCCACGACCUCUCGCACUCAAAGCGGACGCUCGACCACUAUUCUAUCAAGGCCGUUUCUCUCUUUUCAUGUGCAAAACAUUCUAAGUAAAAUGCAACUUUUCGGUACAUACAUUUGAAAUAUAUUCAUACAUGUUGCAUGGUUUUUAAUAAACAAAUGCCUCUAACUGAAAUAAAAAAAUAUCCGCUCUAGUCAAAAUAGUAUGUGUCUAUUAUAUAGAGAUCUUCGUAUACCUUAUGCAAGGAGCAUCACUGGCAACAUAGAUGCAGACAAUGAAGCUUACAUGCUCUAAGAAUGCAGAGCGUCAGGAAGACAGAAGUCAUAACUCCAGAAGAAGUGCGUGGCCUCGUGGCUGGGAUAGUUGUCCAUCAAAACAUGCUGGACCACAAAAGUCCUCUAUAUCACAAGAACAAAUACUAUAACAUUAUAUGUGGAGGAGAACAUACAUGUAUAGAAGAUGUUGUGAUACACUUUAAACUGAUCAAAUAUUUUUUAUCUUCUUUUAAAGUUGUCACACCAAGUCGAAGAACUACAGAGUCCGAUGAACUUGUAUGUAAUCCAGGGAAAAGAUCGAUGGACUGAUAUGAAACCCGAAGGUAUCUACGUUCUCACUUCAGGUCGAAAAACAUCAGAGUUGCUAUGCAACCAAAGGCACAAAGGAAUCUUAAAUUCAAACGUAGCCUAGCAAGUAAGCCUUGUCACUAGGAUUUAGGGUCAAAGUAUAGUCCUCCUAUAGAUUUUUAUAUAAUUUUGUUGGGUUUAACUUCACACCGACAUAAUCAUAAGUCAUUUGGCGACUUUCCAGCUCUUGAUGGUGGAGAAAGACGCCAAGUACAUUGUUUCAUCACGGACGGACACCUGGCUAAAACCACCUAUGACUUUCAGUGAGCCAGCUGGAUGCCUUCGUCACUUGCAGAAUUCAACGCCCCGAACAAGGGUUCUUUAACCCAUAUCGCUGUGGGGCAAGAAAUUUGAAGUCAGCGACCUUCAACAAUCGGCAAAGGAGGCUCCCGAGUCCCAGUACAGGUGAAGAACACAUGAUCAUGAACAGCUUAUAUACAAUGGGUUUGGAGAUACUAAUCAAACAAACAUUUAUUUGAAAUGCCUGAUAGCAUGUCAGUCUGGCAGCAAUAAAGUCAACGCGAUAAAAAAAUUAUAAUGAUUACAGUAAAAAUGUUAAACAUAUCUUUCAUGGCCAAAACUUCAUAGCAUUUGACGAAUCAAUGGUCAUAUCUCUUCUGAAAAUCACCGAAAAUGAAGAUGUCAAAGAUAUGCACAACUGGGAUUGGCAAUGAGCAUUUUAAUAGAAUCUGGUGUUAUUCCUCAUGAUAACGUCGAUGAAGUUGCGCAGACAAGGUCACUUUGACAAAUCAAGGGCCAUUACUCCGUUGAAAAUCACUGAACCAUAACAUGCGGACAAUAUGCACCAUUACCAUAACAUGCCAACAAUAUGCACCAUUAGGCCUUACACUAAUCAAUCCUUGUAAAGUUGGAUGAUAAUCGCCCAUAAUAUCUUUCACAAGACAUGUGGAGACAAUUACAUCUAGCUUGUCGUUCACAUGCAAGAGCUAAACCAUUUUGUGCGCAUGCGUAUUGCUGGAUAUCAUGGCACAAACGAAUCUCAGACUACACCGUGUUAGUGGGCGUGAGAAGUGUUGCACUUUUUAUCAAAUCUCACGAACAUACUCAGUCAAACUGCUUUUCAUUUUGCUUUGCUGCAUUCUUUGAUAGCAUAUAUUUGUCUAAUAGGUCAUUUAUAAACAAUAAUAUCAUUGUGAAAUAAUCAUCGAAUAUUUGUGCAUGUACUUGUAGAAGUAUGAAAUAUAAAACUGUUUUAUCAUUAGAUUUUUUUUAUUCCAGCAUAUACUGAGAAACACUGUUACAUAUUGAGCAUGCAAUGCGCAGGUAGUAAACAAAAACUGAAAAGCAAACAUAACAUUAUAAAUAUACACAACUUAAUCUGGUUAUUAAAUGUACACAAAAUUAAUUAAAAUGGU
rnacentral:lncRNA from 1 species